AGUGAACGCUGGCGGUAGGCCUAACACAUGCAAGUCGAACGGCAGCACAGGAGAGCUUGCUCUCUAGGUGGCGAGUGGCGGACGGGUGAGGAAUACAUCGGAAUCUGCCCAGUCGUGGGGGAUAACGUAGGGAAACUUACGCUAAUACCGCAUACGACCUUCGGGUGAAAGAGGGGGAUCGCAAGACCUCUCGCGAUUGGAUGAGCCGAUGUCGGAUUAGCUAGUUAGCGGGGUAAUGGCUCACCAAGGCGACGAUCCGUAGCUGGUCUGAGAGGAUGAUCAGCCACACUGGAACUGAGACACGGUCCAGACUCCUACGGGAGGCAGCAGUGGGGAAUAUUGGACAAUGGGCGCAAGCCUGAUCCAGCCAUACCGCGUGGGUGAAGAAGGCCUUCGGGUUGUAAAGCCCUUUUGUUGGGAAAGAAAUCUUUCAGGCUAAUACCCUGGGAGGAUGACGGUACCCAAAGAAUAAGCACCGGCUAACUUCGUG
rnacentral:rRNA from 1 species